rnacentral:rRNA from 1 species
CCUACGGGGGGCUGCAGUGGGGGAUAUUGCACAAUGGGGGAAACCCUGAUGCAGCGACGCCGCGUGUGGGAAGACGGUCCUCUGGAUUGUAAACCACUGUCCCCAGGGACGAAGAGGACGGUACCUGGGGAGGAAGCUCCGGCUAACUACGUGCCAGCAGCCGCGGUAAUACGUAGGGAGCGAGCGUUGUCCGGAAUUACUGGGGGAAAAGGGAGCGUAGGCGGGACUGCAAGUUGGGUGUCAAAUCUACCGGCUCAACCGGUAGCCGCACUUAAAACUGCAGUUCUUGAGUGAAGUAGAGGCAGGCGGAAUUCCUAGUGUAGCGGUGAAAUGCGUAGAUAUUAGGAGGAACACCAGUGGCGAAGGCGGCCUGCUGGGCUUUUACUGACGCUGAGGCUCGAAAGUGUGGGGAGCAAACAGGAUUAGAUACCCUGGUAGUC